rnacentral:lncRNA from 1 species
AUGCUAACUUCUCAGGGCUCAGACUUCCUGCCGGGAGCUGCAGAUGCCAGGGUGGAGAUGGGACAGCCCCGAGGACUGUAUCUUCAGUCAGUUAUUUUUAUUUUUUUUAUUUAUUUAUAUAUUUUUUGGUACCGGGGAUCAAACUCCGGUCUUUGCACUUUCAAGGCAGGCGGUGGAACCACUGAGCUAAAUCCUCGGCCCUUCAGUCAGUUAUUUUCAAUGAUAUACUGGGGGCCAGGUCAUCAAACUGAAAUCCUUCUGUACACCAUGGAAACGAAUCUUAGUGCAUUCCAUGAGACCAAGGCAAAGGCCUCCACAAGAUCCGGUUUGUUUGGAUGGUGCUCCAUCGAAUGCAUUUUGCUACAUUUUCUAACAUUCUGUGAUGUCACCAGGCUUGCUCUAAAGUCACACUUAGUAGGGUAAAGUAUAUGCAGAGCAAGUGGGCGGAAGGCAAGAAAACUGCAAAGCACCAAAUCAUAGGACCGUGUUCAUUAAGACCUCCAUGGCAGCAGCCAGCUAGGCCUGUGUGCUGUAACUGAGAUUCCUGUAGCCCCUCUCCGAAGAGACUCAGGGCACAGGAAAGACAUAAUCCUCAGACCCAGAUGAGCCCAUUAAACAUAGACUUGAUCAGUCUUCUCAGCUAGGAAGCCCAAUAUUAAACAUCCAGAGCACAUAAAUGUCCUGCCAAGGCACCAGACCAACAAAAAGCCGAGCAGUCUGCUCCCUCUUACACAGAAAUAAGGUCCUGGAGUCCGAAGUUGGUUUUAAUGUCACAUGAAUACAAAUUCCUAUGGAAACCCAAGGGAACAAUGAUUAUGAGUCCCUCAGGACUCUCUUAGAUUCGCUCAGUGGAGGUUCAGGGAAAGCGAAGAAGUAGCUGCGCUGAGGGUUAAAAUCAUAACUGUCUGCUGUGCAGAAUUUAAAGCUUUAUGAAGCUAAAAGUCUUCCUGCCUAUAGAAAAUUGCUCUUGACAUCUUGCCAUGUUCCCUCCCAGACUUGUCAAUCCAUCUGUGUAUGUUUAUUUAAAUUUUUCUCUAAAUUGGGAUCACGCUCUAAUAUUUUAUCCUGCUUCUUUAUUUAUGAUAUAUAUUUGAAAAGUGUAUUUGCAAGUGAUUAAAUAUCUCAUGACUCAUUUGAAAAACUACUUAAUAUUCUUUGAUGCAUAUGAAUCUUCCUAUAUUUAAGUUAGCUCAUCUUGGACAUUAAAAUAUAUUCCAAAGUUCUAAUUAAUGUAAAUAAAAAGGCCAUAAAUAUAUCUUUCAUACAUUUUUUGCCACAUUGUAUUAUUUCCAUGGGACAUAGCUGUAGACAUUAUUUAGUUCAGUGCAUAUGAGCAAUUUUAAAGCUCAUACUCUUUCCACUAGAGUAUGGAAACAUCCAAGUCCUCACUAACAUUGAACAUAAUUAUUACUUAAACCUGUAUUGUAUGACAGGCAAAGUACAUAUUGUCACUGCUUUAAUUUGUGGUUGUCUGCUUAUAGUGAACUAAAUAGUUAUAAUUUUUUAAAUUUCUUGGCCAUUGUAAUUUUUUUAUAUUGGGCAUUCGUGUCUUUUCCUUUUUCCUCUUUUGAAUUGUUAAUGUCUUCUUAAUCUCUAAUUAAGUGUUUCUCUACCCUAUUUAUGAUAAUUGCUAACUUUUAAAUGGGCAGAUAUUUUCCCUUUGCAAUUUAUUGUAUUACUUUUACAUGUAGAAUGAUUGCUUCAUGCUGAGAUAAGAUACAUCGCUACUGUUACUAAAAGAAACUCUCUCUUCUCCCUCUCCCUCUCUCUCUCUCACACACACACUCACACAGCCUGGAUCUAGCACAUUAUUUUGUGUACUCUUGUUUUGCUUAUUAACAUCUGGAAGUUGCUAUUUGUAACUAUUUGCAAAUCAGCUAAGACUCAGCCUGCCCAAGCUGUCAGACACACUCUCCCUUCUGUCUGUCUGGAGCUUGGUGUGAACACUCAUAUGCCACCCCAGUGUGUGUGUGUGUGUGUGUGCUCAUGUGCACACCCCCAGAUGUCUCUCCCUAGGUGGCGUCACGCAGCCCACAGGUCUCUGCAUUGUCUAAGACCCUCUGGGCCCCAUCUAAUCGGAAGCAGAAUUCAGUCAUCUCUUCCUUCCAGUCCUGGAUUGAACACCGGAUAUAAGGAGGAAACCCUUUUAUUCUUUGUAAGAAUUGAGAUGCAGGAAAUCUCAAAUUAUUUUAGGUUUAAAACAGGUCUUCCAAGAGAAUGCUGGGGGAGAAAAAAAAAAAGAAAUAUCCAGCUUCAAGAUUUAAGAGUAUUUAUAUUUUUAAAGCCUCUGUUUUAACUAAACCAAGACUGGUCGGUUGUAAACAAGGGACCUCGGCUUUUUAAGCUUUCUUUCCUCAUUUACAAACCCUGGACAACAGUUUGGGGUUUACCACCGUGAUGACUACAGGAGAUAAUGAUAUUCCUAGUGCAGCGCUUCAGUAAAUAGGUACCCAGUAAAUGUUGGAUUUGAAUUUAAGGGAGGGUGAAUAAAGUAAGGGCCCCCACAAAUCUUUAAAUUCCAACCUGUCAAAAUGAGAUCAAGGCUCUUUGUUCUGCAGUGUGUUUUAAGGUGCCUCCCUGGAUGGAACCUAAUUUAUUCCAGCAACUGGCACAAGAACUGGGAAGACUGGGGUGACACUUUUGCCAAAUGAUUUGAAGCAUUAUGAAGAAGAAAAUUCUAAGAAAAAUAAGUCUGGGCAAAACUCAGAAUAUAAACAGGAAGCCUCAUCUUCUACCUGCUAGGUUUGUGUCCAGAUGUCACAGAAAA